UAAAGCCUGUAUGACAGUUUAGACACAACUGGUUACGCUUCAUCAUUUGUUUAUUUGUAAGGACAGAUCGUUGGAGAAGAUGGUUUUGCAUCGCUUACAACACCGACAAGUGAAAGUAAAUGAAUAGGUGAAUAAAUAAAGUACAUGCAACAUAUUGUAUGGGACACUUUUAAAUGUACUUUUAGAGACCAUUCAAUACAAUACUCAUAAUUAAAACAAAAGCAAUUUAGGUCAAAAUAGAUUAGACUAAUAAAGGAAAUAGAGGAAGUAACAGUGCAGGCAGAUGGUCAUGGAAAUUGUACUGUAGAGGAACAAAAUAGGCUAGAGAAAAAAAACAAAAAGAAAUGGAGGUACUUAUUAAAGAAUGAUCAAGUGUAAUGUAUUACAAAAAUAAAGUGAAUUAGAUGGAAAAUUGUGAAAAAUGCACAACAUUUCUCUUUAGUCUUCAACAUAGAAAUUCUACCGAAAAUAAUUUACAGAAACUUGUUACAAAUGAUGGAGUUAUCCAUGAUUCAAAUUAUAAUUUGAAAAAGGAAGCAAAAUAUUUUAAGCAUGUUUUCUUUUCAGUCUCCUCUAUUUGCACUGAAUGGUGUUAACUGUUAUGAUUUCUUUCCUAAUAAUAAUAAUAAUAAUUUAAAAUUAACACAUUUACAGAAAGACCUGUGUGAAUGCCAACUUACUGAAGAGGAACUUUUUGAGGCAAUAAAAUAUUUUCAGUCGGGAAAACAUCAGGGCUUGACAGUAUACCGGUAGAGUUACAUCAGAACUUUGUUUGAUGUACUCAAAUAUCCAUUAUUAGCAUAUUUGAAUUACUCCUAUACAAACGGUAGACGUUCAAGUUCUCAACAAGAAGGUGUGAUUUCAUUACUACUAAAACAGGACCCAAGUGGUAAGUAUAAAGAUCCAGUCCAUUUUAAAUAGAGGAAGCCUCUAAUGCUUCAAUGUUGUGAUGUGAAAGUCCUGGCCAAAUGCAUAGCACAUAGAAUAAAACAGGGUUUACCAUAUAUUGUUCAUUGCUGAUCAGACAGGAUUUUUACAUGGACCAUAUAUUGGAGAUCAUAUAUGAAAAUUACUUGAAACAAUUUAACAUUAUGAAACAUAGAAGAUACCAGGCUUAGUCUUCAUAGCAGAUUUUGAAAAGGCAUUUGAUAAAGUACGACUAGAAUUUAUAUAUAAAUGCCUGGAUUACUUUAAUUUUGGUGAAUCUCUUAAACAAUAGGUUAAAGUUAUGUACAGCAACCCCAGGUGUAAAAUAGUAAAUAAUGGUUACUUCCCAGAAAGUACUGAGCUUUUAAGAGGAGUCAAACAAGGCUGUCCGUUGUCUCCAUAUCUAUUUAUUAUGGCCUUUGAAAUGUCAGCUAUUAAAAUUAGAUCCAACAAGAACAUCAAGGGGUUAGAAAUCCAGGGGAUAAAAACAAAAAUGUCAAUGUAUGCUGAUGACUAGUUUUUUCUUAAGUCCGCAAUCUGGAUCCCUGCACUGUCUUAUUUAAUUUGAUUUGGAAUGCUAAGCCAGACAAAUUAAACGUGCCUAUUUAUAUAAUGAAUAUGAGUUUGGGGGGCUAAAAUGAUUAAAUAUUAGCAUUUGAAACCUUUCACUAAAAGCUUCACUAAUACAGAAAUGAUACUUAAACCCAAAAUGUUUCUCCAGUAGAUUAUUAAGAAAGGCUCAGCCUUUGUUCAAAAAUGGCCUUUUUGCUUUUAUACAGAUCACAACUUCUCAUUUCUGACUAAUUGAAAAUGACAUUUUGUUUAAAGUAUUGCCCUUUCUUAAACAAGCCAUACAAAGCUGGUUACAAUUUCAGUUGUAUCCUCAAGACAAGAUAGAAUAAACAUUACAACAAAUAUUAUGGUUAAACUCAAAUAUAGUGAUGAAUAAAAAAACAUUCUUUAUAGAUUUUCUUUUAAAUGGUAUUAUAUUUAUUAAUGAUAUUAUGAAUAGAAACGGAGGAGUUAUGUCACAUAUUUAGCUAUUGAAAAUAUAAUGGGAAUAUCUGCUCAAUCCAAAUUUACAACCAAAUGGAUGCAGUACCACAAAAAUAGAGGAGGCAAGUGGAAAAGGGAGACGGUAGGGAACUUGUUUGCCUGCCAUAUAUUAAAGAUACAAACUGGCUGAAAGGAACUGGCAUAAAUAGAAAAAUAUACCAGUUUCAUUUGAGGACAAAAAUGUUGACAGCUGCACCAUACAGGUUGCAAAAUAAAUGGGAAGAGAUUUUCGAUGUACCAAUUCCAUGACAUAUGGUUUAUGAACUGGUACACAAAACUAUACUUGAUUCAACACUUAGAGUUUUUCAAUUUAAGUUUUUAUAUAAAAUUCUUGCCACCAACAACAGAAUGCUAUAUAUAGGGAGGGGGCUUACAACAAUCUAAGCUCUGUAAAUUUUGCCUGCGAAGAGAGAGAAUUAAUAGAUAAUUUACUCUGGUAUUGCCCCCAUGUAGCUUGUUUCUGGUCACAGGUUCAAGAAUGGUUAAAAAAAUCACAACAUGCAAUUAUAAUUAACCUUACAAAUAGCAGUGUUGGGCGAUUUGGAAAGCCAUAGUUAGUCAAUAAAUAAUAUAAUAAUACUCGUAGGAAAGGUUUUCAUCUUUAGCUCACAAUUUGUGGAUACUAUACAAUUAGAAAGGUAAAAAAAGGAUCUAAAACAUCACAGGACAAUUGAUAAAUAUAUGGCACAUGGAAACCAAACAAGGGUGGUCUAUGGUGAUAGGUAGGAUGGGCUGAGAGUGGCUGAGGGUUGGGAUUAAAGAGCUGAGGUCUAUAGUGAUAGGUGGGAUGGGCUGAGAGUGGCAGAGGGGUGGGAUUAAAGAGCUGAGGUAUAUGGUGAUAGGUGGGAUGGGCUGAGAGUGGCAGAGGGGUGGGAUUAAAGAGCUGAGGUCUAUGGUGAUAGAUGGGAUGGGCUGAGAGUGGCUGAGGGUUGGGAUUAAAGAGCUGAGGUCUGGGAUUAAAGAGCUGAGGUCUAUGGUGAUAGGUGGGAUGGGCUGAGAGUGGCUGAGGGGUGGGAUUAAAGAGCUGAGGUCUAUGGUGAUAGGUGGGAUGGGCUGAGAGUGGCUGAGGGUUGGGAUUAAAGAGCUGAGGUCUAUGGUGAUAGGUGGGAUGGGCUGAGAGUGGCUGAGGGUUGGGAUUAAAGAGCUGAGGUCUAUGGUGAUAGGUGGGAUGGGCUGAGAGUGGCAGAGGGGUGGGAUUAAAGAGCUGAGGUCUAUGGUGAUAGGUGGGAUGGGCUGAGAGUGGCUGAGGGGUGGGAUUAAAGAGCUGAGGUCUAUGGUGAUAGGUGGGAUGGGCUGAGAGUGGCUGAGGGGUGGGAUUAAAGAGCUGAGGUCUAUGGUGAUAGGUGGGAUGGGCUGAGAGUGGCUGAGGGGUGGGAUUAAAGAGCUGAGGUCUAUGGUGAUAGGUGGGAUGGGCUGAGAGUGGUUGAAGGUUGGGAUUAAAGAGCUGAGGUCUGGGAUUAAAGAGCUGAGGUCUAUGGUGAUAGGUGGGAUGGGUUGAGAAUGGCUGAGGGGUGGGAUUAAAGAGCUGAGGUCUAUGGUGAUAGGUGGGAUGGGCUGAGAGUGGCUGAGGGGUGGGAUUAAAGAGCUGAGGUCUAUGGUGAUAGGUGGGAUGGGCUGAGAGUAGCUGAGGGGUGGGAUUAAAGCGCUGAGGUCUGGGAUUAAAGAGCUGAGGUCUAUGGUGAUAGGUGGGAUGGGCUGAGAGUAGUUGAGGGGUGGGAUUAAAGAGCUGAGGUCUGGGAUUAUAGAGCUGAGGUCUAUGGUGAUAGGUGGGAUGGGCUGAGAGUGGCUGAGGGGUGGGAUUAAAGCGCUGAGGUCUAUGGUGAUAGGUGGGAUGGGCUGAGAGUAGCUGAGGGGUGGGAUUAAAGCGCUGAGGUCUGGGAUUAAAGAGCUGAGGUCUAUGGUGAUAGGUGGGAUGGGCUGAGAGUGGCUGAGGGGUGGGAUUAAAGCGCUUAUGUUUGGUAAUGUAUUAUUGUUAUGUGACUGCUUUAUAUAAAAG